rnacentral:lncRNA from 1 species
UUUUUUUUUUGGGGUGGGAAUGUAAAUGGUAUAACUGCUAUGGAAAUAAGGAUGGAGGUUCACCAGAAAAUUAAAUUAUGACCUAAUAGUCUCACUGCUGCUACAUAUGCAAACAAUGUAAAGUCGGGGAGUAGAGGAAUUCUCGCUCAUGUAUGUUGUAGCAUCAUUUACAAUUGCAAGAUAAGGAAACAACAUAAAUGUCCAGAUGGAUGAAUGAGUUUUAAAAACAUGGCAUAUACAUAACAUUGGAAUCUUAUUCAACUUCAGAUAGAAGGAAGUUCUGCCAUAUACAACAUCAUAAAUGGACAUUAUGCUAAGUGGAAUCAGUCUCUCAGAGAAGAUUAAAGACUUCAGUAUAUUUCAUAUAUUGAGGAUAUGAAACAGUCAAUUCAUAGAAACAAAAUAAGAGUAUUUCCUAGAGAUUGGAAAAAGGCAGAAAUGAAAGUUCCUGUUCAAUGGGUAUAAUGGUUCAAUUAUACUAGAUGAAUAAAUUCUGGAGAUCUGUUGUAUAACACUGUGCCUAUAGUUAACAAUAAAGUAGUAUGCAUGU